UACGUAGGGUGCUAGCGUUGUCCGGAUUUAUUGGGCGUAAAGGGCUCGUAGGCGGCGUGUCGCGUCGGGAGUGAAAGCCCGAGGCUUAACCUCGGGUCUGCAGUCGAUACGGGCUAGCUAGAGUGUGGUAGGGGAGAUCGGAAUUCCUGGUGUAGCGGUGAAAUGCGCAGAUAUCAGGAGGAACACCGGUGGCGAAGGCGGAUCUCUGGGCCAUUACUGACGCUGAGGAGCGAUAGCGUGGGGAGCGAACAGG
rnacentral:rRNA from 1 species